ACAUGCCUACAUCAUAGGGUUAAUGCACUCGAUCCCAUUAGAACUCUGUAGUUAAGCGCGCUCGGGAUAGAGUAGUACCGGUAUGGGUGACCGCCCAAGAAUUCCUAGUGUUUUGCAUGCC
rfam:Picea glauca, whole genome shotgun sequence.